AAAUAAAUAAAUAAAUAAAUAAAUAAAUAAAUCAAGCUAAAUUAAGGUAAUAUAGCGCUAUAAUAAACCCAAAUAAUUAUUCAUAUAUCAUUAUUCCACUAUUACAGAGCAAAAAGGUCAAUAUAGUUAUUAAUAGGAUACAUUACAGCACUGUAUAUAUAAUAAUAUAUACAACAAUAACUAUAUAUAAUAUGAAAUCUAUAACGUGAGGUGAACCCUUUUAACCCUCAAGUGUGUGCCAACUGACUGUCGCGAAAAAAGCUUUUUCAAAGGGAAAAAAGUGACGUACAAUUUCAAUCAUUAAGACCGCGAAGCGAAUCAAAUCCGGCGGAUUUACAGACGCCGCGGUCGGCGCGGUGUCUGUCGUACGCUUGUAUUUAAGAUCAUAAAUAGACGGACAGAACGCCAGGCCACGUUCUCCGAGCUUCUCCGAGCGAGAACGUGGAUUAAGCGGGUCAAGAGUUCAGCGUCGGGGUUCGGAUUUCUCCAGAGAGCCGACGUCCUGCUUCAUCGGUUACUCUUAAUUCCUUUUCAUUUGGUUUAUGUAAAUCUCGGGGAAACGCAUUACGUCUCGCAGCCUCGUUUAUUAAACCACAAAAGACACGAAGUUGUUCAUCAGAGUUUGUCGCAAACCUGUUCUCAUUUAGACUGAGCGAUGUGUGUGUGUGUGUGUGUGUGUGUGUGUGUGUGUGGUUUCUUCUGCCCGAACAUCCAGCAGGGAUAUGCUCAUCUGGAGACGAACUCUAAUGAGGCAAAUAAUGAUUUGUGUCUUCCAACGAGAUCCUCCAGUGAAGGAGUAAACGGAUUACGUAAAUACAAUAAAUACAGAUAAUCGUACAAUUCCCUUCGCCGUGGCUUAAUUACCCCAAACCGACGCCAUGCACUUUAUUUAUUUUGAUUCAGUAAUGGCAUUGCAAUCAAUUAGGCCGUAAUGCUGCCAGCUGCUUUCUGCGUGUGUGUGUGUGUGUGUGUGUGUGUGUGUGCAGCUGUUUAGCUGAACUGAACCACAUUAACCGUUAUUAAUGGAUAAAUGAUUUCCCCUCUCUCUGAACGCAUACGUGAGUAAGUGUGUGUGUGUAGACGUGUGUGUGUUGUGUUCUGAUUUGGAUCAGAUACGAAGGCGCAGGAGAUGCGGUCGUGGUACGGGUUAAAGGGAGUGAUGGGGAUUUUAAAGAAAAGCUGAAUUUCAGCCGGUGAUGUUUCUCAUUCUGUAAAAACUUUAUUGACUCGUGUCUGUUUCCCGAAGAGAGAGUCGGCACCGUCGAACACCGCGUUUAGACUUUUUCACGCUCGGUUGAAGUUAUAAAGAACGAAAGGCCCAGAUCCGGCCCAGAUCCGGCCCACGCCUGACACGUUCAUCCGGCCCACAUACCGCGUGGAAUGAUGACACUUGGGCGGUCCGCUCCGGGUUGCCAGAUUUGGGCCAGAAGCAAGCCGUAGCAAUGCCGCAUGCGCAACACUUUUUGCAAAGGUGGCCCACAUUUGUUUUGUGAUAUUUGGGCCAUAUUCACUAUUCCCCACACGGGCCGCUUUAGGGUCACGUCCAGAUCACACACUGCCGUGAGCGCCGCAUCGCUGCCUAAAAAGAGAAACGCUUGUGAUUCAGGAUAUUUGGGCCAUAUUUGCUUAUUUUUGUCCGAGCCAAAAGAAGGCCAGCAGCACUGCCUGAAGUGGCCCACAUCCGCAUGCCAUCUGGGCGUGGCCAAGCUAAUCUAACACAUGAUUGGGUGGUAGUUACACCCAUCGACUCGGACACACAAGUAACAAACAAGCCAUCAAUUUGCUAGUGAGUAAUUCUUGUAGACGUUAUAAAGUCCGUACGGGAUUUCACCAAGUUUAUUUUGUGAUCGGCCGACCGAAGACGCUCGCUUCUGCAAAGACUUUUUCGCAGCGAUGUUAGUUGGUAAACGAGACCUUUUAGCCGUACUCGUGUAGGACGCACGUGAAUCGAAGACGGCUUCGACCGAACACGUGUCGCGGCGACGUCACGUGACGCAUGACUUGACAACGGAAAUAGUUAGUUGUUGCGUAACGUGACUCGCAGCUCAGGUUCUGUCUUUGUUGCUGGUGUUUAUGCAAAAAUCCCUUAAAAACCCCAACGAGUGUCAUGUUCACGUUCUCCAUCACGGUAAAUACCUCAUGCAUUUUCAGGCAGUCUAACCACACACACACACACACACACACACACACACACACAGGCUCCCUGCGAGCGCCUUUAAAUGAAAGCAUGUUUAAUUAAUGAUGCUGAAGUUCUCCGUCACAAUUAAGAAGAUGAACGGUCAAACAAGGCACCGGAGAAAAGCCCUGACGAUGAAAAGUUUGUCUUCCUAAAGUGCUGCUGAGGAUACAGUAACCUGACACACACACAAACACACACACUUUUACUGCACUUGACACUGACAGAUAUGACAGGAGGAUUUAUAGCGGAGCUGAAACACCUCGCGUUCAGCGUGAUGUAUGUGACUAUAAAAAAUACGAAUAAAUUAAAAAUGAAAAAAAAAAAAUGCUGUCCAUCAUUUAAUAGCUUCGAGGAGAAAAUACGACUCGAGGCUUCGUCUCCAACACGCAGCUCCAUGCCGACUCUAAACAUAUAAACAAGCUUUCGUGCUUGUUCUGUGCAUGCUGUGAUCUCAUGUGUUACCCAUAAUGCACUGCGAGCAGAUCGUCGUAAUAUAGGCAGACAGCGGCGGACGUGCGUAAGACGUGAACUCACGACGUUCUGACAGGAGUGUGUAACAGCUAGUGAUUGUGAUUUAGGUUUUGGUGAACAAACCCGAGUCAGUAAUUCUUAAUAACAAAAAUACCGAUCAGUCUGGGUUAGGGUUAGCCUCGGGUUAGGAGUAGACUAGGAUUAGGAUUAGCCUAGGGUUAGGGUUAGCCUAGGGUUAGGGAUUAAAGUUAGCCUAGGGUUAGGGUUAGCCUAGCGUUAGGGAUUAGGGUUAGGGUUAGCCUAGGGUUAGGGUUAGCCUAGUGUUAGGGAUUAGGGUUAGGGUUAGCCUAGGGUUAGGGAUUAGGGUUAGCCUAGGGUUAGGGAUUAGGGUUAGCCUAGGGUUAGGGUUAGCCUAGGGUUAGUGAUUAGGGUUAGGGGUUAGGGUUAGCCUAAUCCAAACCCAGUCUCAUGACGUUAUUAUUAUCAUAUCGAUGCGAUGUUGUAUACGGCGCUAUCGUGUGCUAGUUAGCCUUUUAGCAAGUAAGCAGACAAUUAGCCAGCUGUGAUACGAUAGAAUAAAACGAUGAUUUAUUUUUAGCGUCAGGGUUCUGGGAGGUAAUUAAUCUGAUGACGGUUCAGGAAAAAGCUUCCUCGGUUCUCUAAACAGAGAGGAGAAGGCGAGUAAAAAUGGAGCGAGAGAGAGAGAAAGAGAUGAGAGAGACGCAAAAGGCACAGAGACAGAAAAGAAAGACAAAGAGAGAGAUAAUAAUAAUAAGAAGAAGAAGAGGCAGAUAGAGACCCAGAAGAGAAACUGAAGAGAUCGAGACAGAGAAGGAAGGAAAAGAAGAGACAGACCGAGAGUGAGACAGUCCGAAGGAGAGAGAGAGAGACAGAAACAGAAAAGUAGAGUGAGACAGAGAGAGUGAGACAGACAAGGGAAGGUGUCAAUUAAAGGAAUGAAGGCUGGUGUGUGUGUGUGUGUGUGGUGUUGACAGCUGGCUGGAGUCGAGCUGACAGCCGUCACAUUAAGCAGCUUUGGUGGCCUGCACACACGCGCACACACACACACACACACACACACACACACACACACACACACGUCUGAAAGUGGAGGCUCUGGUGCUGCAGUGAUUAGCGUUGAACCCCUGCAGCUAUCGCUAAUAACAGUUAUUAGCAUCUGUAGAGUUCUGGGAGAGUUUUUACACUCUGAUCAGGUUUAGAGUUUCAACAACCACCGAACAACCCCUGAACAUCCACUGUAUGACCACAGAAAACCCCUGUAUAACCACUGAACCAGCACACAACCACUGAACCGGCAUGGAACAUUCACAGUACAACCACAAAAAAUACUGUACAAGCACAGAAGCACCACUGAACAACCAGCGUACAGCUACAGUACAACCCCUGAACAUUCACUGUACAAACACUGAACAACCAACAUACAACUAGAGUACAACAACCGAAUAACCCCUGAACAACCCCUUAACAUUCACUGUACAACCAGCAUACAACAACACAACCACAAACUAAACAACCACAAAAAACACUGUACAACCGCUAAACAGCCGCUGAGUACUGACAGUACAGCCGCACUCUUUCUGAGACAGCGCUGUUUAAAAUAAUCUCUUUACCACAAACAGACAGGAAGUAGCUGAUGUGGUUCACUGUAAUGAUUUCUUCAGUGUUAAUUCUUUAUUGAUUGAUUUUUUUUUCCCCAUUAAUAAAUAAAUGUUUUUUCUUUGUUUUUUUUACAACAUAAAAUAACGUUCUUCAGAUAUGAAAUAAAGUAUGAUCAAACAGGUUUUUUUAGAAUGCUACACCAGCGUGUCGCUGUCGUGUUCGUACACACAGCGUAUCAGGAUGCACGCCGCGUCUCGCACAGACCCGCGUGACGAUCCGGAUCUGAUCUCAUGGUAUCUCCAGAUCGUACUGGACCUGGAGCUUUCGCUCCACAUUAUUAUUUUAAUCCCUCAUUUCAAAAAGAAAAAGACGGAGAAAGAACAAAGUCCUUUUCUGAACUUGUGGAAAAAUGUUUCAAUGUAGAGAGCCACAGAGUAUACAGUACAGAACUAUACAUAUAUAC
ensembl:lncRNA